rnacentral:lncRNA from 1 species
ACCGGCCAGCCGGACGGUCCCGGCCGCCACUAGACGGUGUCGAACUCGUCGGCGGCGAGGGCGGACUGGCUCUGCAUGCGGCGGAGCUUGAAGGAGGAGAGCCUCUGGGGCGCGUCCUUGGCGGGGGCCUCCUCGAAGCGGAUGUAGGUGUAGACCCAGGCGCCGGAGAGCGUGCCGAUGACGGGGCCGAGGAAGUAGAUCCAGAGGCCCGUGUAGACGUUGCUGGCCACCGCCGGCGCCAGCGUCCUCGCCGGGUUCAUCGAUCCGCCGGACACAGGCCUGCAAAUGCCACUCGUUCCCCCGCGUCGUGUAUUAGCUUACAUGUAUAUAUGUGCGUGUGCGUCAGUAGUGGCUCAUCAGUGCGUGCAGUACUCUGUGCCUGUAGCUAAUCUUUGCUUUUUCUAGGGUAGCUAAUCUUUGUUUUCGUAGCUACUACUAGUGACUAGUUCCAAAGUCAGAGGGUCUAGAAAAUUGUUUGUUAGUGAAGGCAUGUCUGACAGGGUUCACUGAACCUAAUUCACAAGAGGUUUCGCCCUGUCGCAACCAGAGUGUCAGCUUGUACAACAACACGGUGCCAAUUUGGAGGAAAAUCAAAAAAAUGUGGCCAGCUUACUAGCAAACGACGUCAACAGCUUGAGAAGUCACGUAUGCUAAAAUUUCCUAAAAGGACCUAGGCGGUUUCUUCGGUGUCACUACUGCUAUAGCUCUUUGGUCGAAAGUCUAUCAUGUUUUAAUUCCUCGUGAGAGUACUAUAGCCGAUGUCCUUGCUGCUAAUUAAUAAGGCUAUAGCUACUACUACUAGUGUUUGGUCAGUGCUCAUCAGUGAUUGGUUAGUUAUUCAUCGUUUCGUUCAUAUUACCCUGCGAAGAUGGACGUAAUGCAAACCGCGGAACCGACUGCUAACCCGGCCAACUCACCCACCUGCAACCAAAUAAACCAAACGAAGUCGUCGUCGUCAGGGCAUGCAAGCAGUGAACCAGCAGGGAGAGAACUGAUGAAGAACAGGGGAGAGGGCAUCCUCAGCAUUGUAGGCAAUACGAGCAAACAGCAGCUGGGGACGAAGGCCACUCACCGCCCUGGAGUCCGUUGCGACGGCGCAGGUGACGAACAUCAUGUUGAAGGUGACGACGAUCUCGAUGACGAGCGCGUGCCAGUGCGGCCCC